AACGAACGCUGGCGGCACGCCUCAUACAUGCAAGUCGAGCGAUUAAAGCCCCUUCGGGGGUGUAUAGAGCGGCGAACGGGUGAGUAACAGGUGGGUAAUCUGCCUCUUGGUAGGGGACAACAGUUGGAAACGACUGCUAAUACCGUAUGUGAUUGUGGGUUUAUGGCCUGCAAGGAAAGACGCUUCACGGCGUCGCCAAGAGAUGAGCCCGCCCCCCAUUAGCUAGUUGGUGAGAUAAUAGCCCACCAAGGCUUCGAUGGGUAGCCGAGCUGAGAGGUUGAUCGGCCACACUGGAACUGAGACACGGUCCAGACACCUACGGGUGGCAGCAGUAGGGAAUAUUGCGCAAUGGGCGAAAGCCUGACGCAGCGAUGCCGCGUGAGUGACGAAGGUCUUAGGAUUGUAAAGCUCUUUUCUGAGGGAAGAAUGGUCCGGGUAGGAAAUGAUCUGGAUUUGACGGUACCUCAGGAAUAAGGAACGGCUAACUCCGUG
rnacentral:rRNA from 1 species